rnacentral:lncRNA from 1 species
CGAGCCUCUGCCUGACCGGAGCGUCUGGGCAGCGCCAGAGGCUCCCGGAGUUUGCAGACCUCUAGCCAAACAGGAGUUCUUCCCUGGAUAGCGUGGCUCUGGAUUCCCGUGGAGUCGGCUGGCAAGCUGGCUCCGGAGGGAGUUGAACUUGAGUUCAGAUGGCCAACUCCCUCUGAAUCCUGCAGAUUGGUGCUGAGCACGCAACAAAAGUUUGUAGCUUCCCCUCAGUUUCUGGUGCUUCGCAG